UCUUCUGCAUUCCUCUCUAAUUUUUUCCUCACAAAGGCUUACUCCUACACUAUGUAACAGGUCAUAUAUCACUCACUCAUACACACGAAUUAGACUACAACUUUCAAAGAUCUUUCAUUUUUCUCCACCCUCAUUUUCAGUACAAAAGCUUCUGAAAUUCCAGUCCUAAAAGCUCUACAAAAAACUAAGAGAUAAAAGGUUCAAGACUUUUUUCUGAGUUUAAAUCUUGUGCUACAAGUUCUGGGUUUAUAGAUGUUGAGGUCAAAGAAGAGUCGCUAUUUUGUUGGAAUUGAAGUUCAGAUUGCUCCUUGUUUCCAUGUUGCUAUUUCACUACUAGUAGCUUUGUAGUUAUUCUGUCACAAAGCUUUACAAGCCAAGAGGAUCAUGAGAUGUGGCGAUUACAGAGAACUAGUUGUUCAUUUGAAUAUGUAACUAGCUUAAAGCAUCAUCAUAAUAUGUAUCCUAUAAUAGAUUUUCAGAUGUAUGAAUCAAUUGUCAAUUGUAUUUAAAUCUAGCAUUAGUUCAGUUUGUUGAAAGUAUUUAA